AGUGAUGAAGGCCUUCGGAUCGUAAAACUCUGUUGUUAGGGAAGAACAAGUGCGAGAGUAACUGCGCGUACCUUGACGGUACCUAAUCAGAAAGCCACGGCUAACUACGUGCCAGCAGCCGCGGUAAUACGUAAGUGGCAAGCGUUAUCCGGAAUUAUUGGGCGUAAAGCGCGCGCAGGCGGUUUCUUAAGUCUGAUGUGAAAGCCCACGGCUCAACCGUGGAGGGUCAUUGGAAACUGGGGAACUUGAGUGCAGAAGAGGAAAGUGGAAUUCCAUGUGUAGCGGUGAAAUGCGCAGAGAUGUGGAGGAACACCAGUGGCGAAGGCGACUUUCUGGUCUGUAACUGACGCUGAUGCGCGAAAGCGUGGGGAUCAAACAGGAUUAGAUACCCUGGUAGUCCACGCCGUAAACGAUGAGUGCUAAGUGUUAGAGGGUUUCCGCCCUUUAGUGCUGCAGCUAACGCAUUAAGCACUCCGCCUGGGGAGUACGAUCGCAAGACUGAAACUC
rnacentral:rRNA from 1 species